AUUGAACGCUGGCGGCAGGCCUAACACAUGCAAGUCGAACGAGUGGCGGACGGGUGAGUAAUGUCUGUGACACUGCCUGAUGGAGGGGGAUAACUACUGGAAACGGUAGCUAAUACCGCAUACCAUCAGAUGUGCCCAGGUGGGAUGGGCUUGUGGGUGGGGUAAGGGCUCACCAAGGCGACGAUCCCUAGCUGGUCUGAGAGGAUGACCAGCCCAACGGGACUUGGGAAACGGUCCAGACUCAUACGGGAGGCAGCAGUGGGGAAUAGUGCACAAUGGGCGAAAGCCUAAUGCAGCCAUGCCGCGUUUAUGAAGAAGGCCUGCGGUUUGUAAAGUACUUUCAGCUGGGAGGCGUUACCAACAGAAAAAGCACCGGCAAACUUCGUGCCAGCAGCCGCGGUAAUAC
rnacentral:rRNA from 1 species